UACGAAGGGUGCUAGCGUUGAUCGGAAUUAUUGGGCGUAAAGGGUGUGUAGGUUGUUUAAUAAGUUGGUUGUAAAAGCCCAAGGCUCAACCUUGGAAUUGCAGUCAGUACUAUUUACUGGAGUAUGAUAUGGGAUGGCAGAAUUUCUAGUGUAGGGGUAAAAUCCGCAGAUAUUAGAAAGAAUACCAGUGGUGUAGACGGCUAUCUUGGUCAUUACUGACACUGAGACACGAAAGUGUGGGGAGCAAACA
rnacentral:rRNA from 1 species